UGGGCAAAAAGAUCAAAAUUCUACAGAAGAAUCUGAUGGCUAAAUGGCUAAUUUGCAAAACACAAUGCCCUGUACAUUUUGAGGACAUCCUAAAACAUGUGUAAACUUUUCAGAAUUCAGUUUACCAAAGUUAUCAAACUUAAAAAUGAUUAAAAUUUAUUUGCUACUGCAAAGAAUUCAACCAAUUUCUCCAAUGACUACUCCAUAUUCAUUUUGAAAAACAGUACCGGAUUUAAAGCUUACACAACAAAAUUCACAAAAGUGUUAUAUGUGCCUAUAUGACAUAUAGGCACAAAUAACUGCAGACAUUCUGAAGCUAACACUGCUCAACCAGGAAAAAAAAAAGACUGCAAUUGGAUAUGUAAUAACAGCUAUUUAAGACGGCAGUAACGUGUUAAAAUGGUUCAUAAAAAUCACAUCAUAAGGCCCUGAAAUUCUAGUAAAAAUAUCUCUAAGUAAACUUGUGAACUACUACUAAAUAACUAAUUUUCUCUCUCUCUGUAGUCACUCAUUUUAUCUUUGGAUUACUUUCCCAUUCUAUCACCACGUUGCUUUCUCUGAACUUCAUUUUACAUUUGCAUAUUAUUUAUUCCAUUAGCAAUUGCUCAUCCCAGUCUGAAUCUCAAAAUUCUACUAUAGGAGGCAUUUGGCAUUCUGUGGAAUAAGAGAAUUUUGAGAUGGAAAUGAUCAACCAGCUCAAAACCUCGUAAGCUAGAGUUCAGUUAAGCUUAGCACAAUGAUGAAAACAAUUUCUCAUUAAAACUUCUUUCAUUCCCUCUACAGAAGCAGUAACCCUGGGUACAGUUAAAACUGCCUGGGUCUUUAAGCUUUGUCACCUCGGACAAGUCAUUAUACCUAACCUCCCAGGGCCUCAGCUUCCAGAGUAGUUAAAUGGAAAAACAAUAGCAUCUAUCUCAGGUUAUUAGAUUAUGAAAUGAGUUAACACACGCAAACAGGCUGAAAGAGUCCCUGGUGCGCAGUGCAGGUAUUAGUCAUUUAGAGGUAUAGUUACUAUUACAGGAAGGUAGUAACUUAGAAAGACUUACCUUUAAGGUCCAACAACCUAAUCUACAUAUUUGUAUAUUUCUAAGGUAAGAGAAUUUUUAAAAGUCUAUUUUCACCCCGUAAACCUAAUGCAGGAGGAUAAGGCACGGGUUACUACAGGAAAAAGUAAUGCAGACUGGGGGAUGCGAACCAAAGCACAGACGAAUGUGCCCCGACGAUUCCUCCGAGAACAUAAUGAAAUGGCGGACCUUCCUGCCAGAGGAGCGCACAGUCACCCAGGCAGGUGAUGUGACACACACGUUAGGGUCUAAAGGUCCCAAGGCUGGAGUCCCCUUUACUGGACCCUAAACAUGUCUGCCUCCUGCCCCGCAAUCAGACUUAGAGAACUGUGGACGGUGGAAAGUCUUAUCAUGACCAGGCCAUCCUUCGCUGGGGUGAACGGAAAGCAUUCAGAAGGGGAAAAUUGAAAACAACAAA
ensembl:lncRNA novel transcript, antisense to NAP1L4